CACUUUUCAUAAUGAUAUAACCUUUAUGAAAUACAGAUUAAGACUUCUUUGGAAUUUCAUUGAAAUUCCUACGCAAUCCAAAGAUACUAUAAGACAAAUUAUGGAGUACUUUGUUGAAUGGUAAAGCCUGAUGGCUUUAGGAUGAUGGCUUUAGGAUUCAGACUUUGUGUAUGGAGGGUCCCAUGGUCAUGAGCACAGUUGUGGCUUCUGGAAACUGAAACUUUUGGGAAUCUUUGCAAAGGCCUCUGAAAUUGACAGAUCCGUUUUAAGAACAAGGGUUAGGUAAAUGUCUUGUCACCAUAGGCCUCCAAACAAUUCCAAUCUAGGUGUGCAGGCCCUCGUCCUGUACCAUAAUUCUGAGUUUGUUCCUCGAUUUGUCACGUCUGUCAAUGUGUCACACAGAGAUAGCUUCAGCAGUGCUUGGGCAUUUGUUUUCGUCAAAAAUUCGGCUAUUCAUC